GCUAAACGCGAAGAACCUUACCAGGUCUUGACAUCCUCUGACAACUCUAGAGAUAGAGCGUUCCCCUUCGGGGGACGAGAGUGACAGGUGGUGCAUGGUUGUCGUCAGCUCGUGUCGUGAGAUGUUGGGUUAAGUCCCGCAACGAGCGCAACCCUUGAUCUUAGUUGCCAGCAUUUAGUUGGGCACUCUAAGGUGACUGCCGGUGACAAACCGGAGGAAGGUGGGGAUGACGUCAAAUCAUCAUGCCCCUUAUGACCUGGGCUACACACGUGCUACAAUGGAUGGUACAAAGGGCUGCGAGACCGCGAGGUCAAGCCAAUCCCAUAAAACCAUUCUCAGUUCGGAUUGUAGGCUGCAACUCGCCUACAUGAAGCUGGAAUCGCUAGUAAUCGCGGAUCAGCAUGCCGCGGUG
rnacentral:rRNA from 1 species